UUUUCGGAGAGUUUGAUCCUGGCUCAGGACGAACGCUGGCGGCGUGCCUAAUACAUGCAAGUCGAGCGGACAGAAGGGAGCUUGCUCCCGGAUGUUAGCGGCGGACGGGUGAGUAACACGUGGGUAACCUGCCUGUAAGACUGGGAUAACUCCGGGAAACCGGAGCUAAUACCGGAUAGU
rnacentral:rRNA from 1 species